rnacentral:misc_RNA from 1 species
AACCUAGCACACCUGCGGUGUGUACCUGCGGAAGGAUCAUUACCUAGAGUUGUAGGCUUUGCCUGCUAUCUCUUACCCAUGUCUUUUGAGUACCUUACGUUUCCUCGGUGGGUUCGCCCGCCGGUUGGACAAAACUUAAACCCUUUGUAGUUGCAAUCAGCGUCUGAAAAAACUUAACAGUUACAACUUUCAACAAUGGAUCU